UGAUCCCUCCAGAAUUCAAAAACUUAAGUAUGUUUUUCAUGACAAUAUGUGUACUUGCAUAAAUUCAAUGAGAAUCUGUUCUCCUCAUAACAAGACACAACUGGAAAUAUUGGCUCUAUUACCAAGGCUUUGGCUGGAUUAUCAUAUUCAAGAAAGAUGUACAUAGACAGAUAUGACCAGACAGCUUUAAGGAACUUCUCAAAAAUAAUAAAUAAAUCAGCCUGGUACCUUGCUUACAAGAUUCCAGCAAAACAAUUUUGAAAAAGAGUUUAUAUGGUCAAUCAUUAUUCUUGCUGCAUUUAGGUGAACAAUCAAAUCAAGUUUAAUACCAACAAAUUAGUUUUACUAUGAUUAUCUUUGACAAAAGUGAGGACAAUCAUAGAGAGAAAAAUCAUGUUUGCACUUACGUAGCUAUUAAGUUCUAGUCCUAUCAAUUAUCUUCAAGGUUUUGUCAUAUACCUGCACACUGGAGUGGAUCCUCAAUUCUUCUAGUCUCCAAUAACGUCUGGCUACUCCUCUCCAGACUAAUGUUUUCAAUUUUCUUCCACUUUUCUGAUUUGAAAUCAGUAAGAACAAAGACUGCCUUGAAUCCUCUUGGAAGGGACUAUACCAGGGCCUCCUCACUACCUAGAAGGCAGCCAAACUUCAGGGACUCGAACCCUGAGUACACAUCUCACAGGUAGAGAAGAUCGCACCUGACAUGUGGUCCUAUACAAACACUGGAAACCUCCAAAUUGAAAUGACUAGGAAGAGAAGCAGCUGACAACUGAGGCAUACAGCUUUCCAAAGAUGACCUGACCAGGCCUGUAUACCCUUUUUCUCACUGUUGCUUUUUUUUUUUUACUCUCUCUCUCUUUCACAGAAAGACAAUGCCCUUGUUUGUAUUUCCCAAAUCCUCUUCUUUUGAUUAUGGCCUUUCAGAAACUACCUCAUCAUGACCCCAUAACAAAUUAGCCUUUUCACCUGCUUUUUGUUUUUUUUUUUAAGAGUUAGAAGGUUCAGAAUUCACUGAAGUCUUUCUUUCAUCCGGACUAUUAACUGUUUUGGGAUUUUUUUACCUAGAUUCAUGGUCUUUGAAUUUGCAACCUUACAGGCUGUCUUACUGGAUAACACAUUUGGUUCUAAACAGCUCUUUUGGGGAUAACAAUACUAUUUUAAUAUGUCUUUGAAGUUCUGCUGUUUUUGCAAAGAGCUCGUCAGCUACUGCGCCAUACUUAUUCCUGCCCUGUCUUCCCAACAUGCUCAGUUAAUUCUUUCCGUUUGUGCUCUUGCUGUAUUCACUGUGCUGUUUUCUCUUCAGUACAAAACAGAAGCCUCCCAUUGAUCCAUUUUACUAAACCUUCAUGGCCACCUUGAGUGGGAACUUCCAGGAGACAUACAUGACUCCACGUCUGCCUCUGGAGGAGGGGCCUUUUUUCCCUCAGGUCCAAGUACGUGCCCAAGAAAACAUGAUUAGAGCAGCAGAAACUCAACUGCAUGGAAGAAUCGAGGAGGAAGAGCACUGACUGCAACAAGUCUCACCUGACCCUCCGUGAUUUGUUCAGUUGGCUACCCUCAGGCCUAAGGUAAUGCUGGCUCAACAUUUCAAGAUGAUCAGAAUGGUCUCCAACGCUUAUGACCUUAAGAAGAUACAGACUUUAUAUGGUGGGACACAACACCCAGGAAAAGUCCUUCCUGGCACCAAGGGACAAAGGCCACUGAAGAUGGAAAACCUGACUUUUGAUCAGCGAUGCUUUCAGAGAAAAGCAGAAAAUGUCAAACUGAAUAGAGGAAACCUCAUUUAAAAUAGCUGGGAGUCCAGAAGGGGGAACCCUCACACACUACCACAGGAAGCAUCAACUACUCCAGUUAAUUACAUACUCCAACAGGAAAGCAUCAUUCACAGACCUACUAGGAGGGAAGAUUUCCUGUUCACCCAGCAACUCAGCCUAGGAGGAACCAUCACCACCUAAACUCUCACUUUCUACCAGGGGACUUUCUUCAAAACAACCCCUCCCAACUUCCUCCUUUUUCUCUGUAACAGAAUGGGCCUCUCCUUUGUUUGCUGAACCUAUCUAUGGCUUUUCCUAUAGUUCGCUUGUCUCGAAUUGCAAUUCCUCUGCUAUUCCCAAAUAAGCCCACUUUGCUGGUAAAAUAACUGGCUGUUUUCUUUUUAUCUUAAAAGCUUCAUGCCUUCCACCUUAUUUUGCAUGUCUCCAAAAGGAGACUGCCCACUUCAUGUCAGUGUGAACUUAAACUGGAUCACCUAAAUUAUUUUCUUUAGUCGUUUUUUUUUAACACUGCUGAGAAGAGGGCCUGGAAAGUAUUCAGCAUUUAAAUUAGUGCACUGAAAUCAUGCCUCCCUAUUCUUUUGAAAACGUUUAUGUCAGCUGUUUCUCCACUCUCCCAGGAAAGUUCGACUCAUCUUUUCCCAUCACCCU